CAGAGGUGGAGUUGGAGGUGUUAAUGCAGGCGUUUGAAGAAUUCAAGCCUAUCAUAAUGAAAAAAAGUAAUACGGCUGCAUCGGCUAAAGAAAGAGAGUUGGCUUGGCAAAAAAUAACGGACAGAGUAAAUGCGUGAGUGUAUUAAAUUGCAAAAUUGACAUCGCCUCCCUUUUAUUAUACUGUAAAAUAACGAAACACCCCUUCCGCACCCUUUUCACUGUUCAAUCACUUUGAAUGCAUUCACUUUUCCUGCCAUUCAUUUCUUUAGGUUAAAAUAACAAUGUGUAUUGACUAGGAAUAUAUGGUUUCUUAUUUAAUAAGGUGUAAUCCGUCUGGAUGCAGAAGAACUUUGAGGCAAGUCAAAAUGAAACAUAGAAACAUACUGCAAAAAGGUAAUAGUUGAUUACACGCUCACUGAACUAUUGAUUAAACACGAUUUAGUAUAUUCUGUCUGUCAUGUAGCUAAUAGAAAGCAAGCUGAAGCCCGUCUAACUGGCUGGGGGCCCACCACCACCUCCCCUCACCCCAUCUGAGGAGCUGGCUCUGUCCCUUAAUAAAGGGCGACCAGUGGUUGCUGGCAUUCCAGGGGGCACUUCGUCACACACACCAUGCACCACAAGUAUGGUGAAAUGUAAGUUUACCACUAUGAUUUGUUUUCACUCUAUGACUUAAUAAAUUACUAUCUCUGUCACUUAAAGGCUUCUUCAACAUGCUUCAUGUUUUUAUGCAGGCUGACUUUAUUGAACUGCAUAUGCUGUGUAGGCUACUGUGUGCCUCGUUGUAUUACUGUGACAUGUUUUUUUCCUGCAUUUUUGGUUUUUUCUUUGAUAAUAUUGAGAAUUUUAUGGGUUGUAUUUUCCUAUAGAUACUGAUAGUGGGAUUGUAUUAUUGGACCCUACAGAAAGGACACAGUCUGUCACAGCUCUAAGUGUUUUGUUGUCAGGUACCUUUAGUUGCUUUUAGAUAUUUUGUUUCUUUUUGCCAGAUAAUGUAUACUUGCAUAUUUCCUCUAUAGGUUGAAGAUGACGAUGAAGAGACCACAUCUGCUGUGACAGAAGUGGACAAUGCUGGUGGAUCCACUGAGUACAUACCUGGGGAUUUGCCCACAGAUGACGGUCCUUCAACCUCAAUGCACGAUCUAAGCAGUUUGCCAGCAAAGGAGCUGUAUAAGGUCCAUCUUCAAAAACAAAUAAGAAAAAGUGACAUGGAGACGGACCUUAUACAGCUUCAAAUGGAGGCGAAAAGGCUAUCCAUGAAAAAAGCAACAUUAGAAAUAGAAUUACUGGAGCAUCGCCUUAAGGAAAUAAAGAAAUGAACCACACCGCAGACCAGUGCACACAAUUUAAUAAAAGUAAUUCUGAGAAAUCCUG